AUUGAACGCUGGCGGCAGGCCUAACACAUGCAAGUCGAACGAGUGGCGGACGUGUGAGUAAUGUCUGGGAAACUGCCUGUUGGAGGGGGAUAACUACUGGAAACGGUAGCUAAUACCGCAUACCAUCGGAUGUGCCCAGAUGGGAUUAGCUAUUGGGUGGGGUAAAGGCUCACCUAGGCGAAGAUCCCUAGCUGGUCUGAGAGGAUGACCGGCCACACUGGAACUGAGACACGGGCAAGACUCCUACGGGAGGAAGAAGUGGGGAAUAUUGCACAAUGGGCGCAAGCCGAAUGCAGCCAUGCCGCGUGUAUGAAGAAGGCCUUCGGGUUGUAAAGUACUUUCAUCGGGGAGGCGUUACCCGCAGAAGAAGCACCGGCUAACUCCGUGCCAGCAGCCGCGGUAAUAC
rnacentral:rRNA from 1 species